UAAAUUCACCACACUUUUCAUAGCCAAUCAAAAUACCACGUAGGAGUAGUUAAAAAAGACAAUAAAAAUAUAAAAAAAAUAGCUGAAAAAAAACAACACCGACGUCAAUUAACGCCGUCUAAAAAACCAUAAAUCAUAAAUCUGAAACACUAAACCAUAUAUCCCAAUCCUAAAAUCUAAACCCUAAAUCUUAAACCUUAAACCCAAACUCUAAACAAUAAACCUUAAAUCCUAAAAUCUAAACCCUAAACCCAAAACUCUAAAUCAUAAACCCUAAAAUCUAAACCCUAAAUCCUAAAUCCUAAACCCUAAACUCAAAUCUUAAACUCUAAACCCAAAACUUCAAAUCCUAAACUCUAAACUCUGAAUCCUAAAAC
rnacentral:lncRNA from 1 species